UUCUCCCGUAUAAUUUAGGAGAGAGAAAGAGAGAGAGAGAGAGAUGGCUUCAUCUCAUGGAGAAAUACGAACAGUUCGCGCUGGGAUAAAGCUACUGUUGAUGGUAGUGUUUUUGGGCACUCUCAUGAUGUGGAUCAUGAUGUCUACCAACACUUACUUCCAAAAAUGGUUGCCUUAUUUACGAGCAAAGUAUAAUUCUUCUAAGUUUUUUGGAAUACAAGGUGUAACGCUUUUGAUUUACACCUUUCCCACUCUCUUCAUUGCUGUCUCGGCCUGCAUAUACCACCAUCUUGGAAAGAAAUUGAAUGACUAUAAACUGGAAAGGUAGUCAGCCUUUUAGCUCUUUUGAUGGGAAAUACAAAGUUCAAUUCUGACUAAUAUACUUUUUUUUUUUUUAUUGGUUUUGUAUCGACUACACUGACGGCAGAAAAAAUAUAUUCACCUUAUGGAAAAAGCCGAUGCUCGUAAAAGGUCCUCUAGGGAUUGUUUCCGGCAUAGAAUUGGGCUUCUCUGUCAUGUUCAUAGCACUCCUGAUUUGGUCUCUCUCGAAUGACCUGCAUAAUAGCUUUGUUCAUAUCACCCCACAAUCAGCGGCUGAGAAAGGGGAGAAAGUAUGGCAAGCAAAGUUGGACAGUACAGGAUUGUGGCUAGGUGUUGUUGGAAACAUAGGUCUUGCAUUUCUCUUCUUUCCGGUGGCACGGGGGUCGUCGGUGUUACCACUUUUUGGCUUAACAUCGGAGGCUAGCAUCAAGUAUCAUAUAUGGCUUGGCCACAUCGUCAUGGCAUUCUUCACCGCUCAUGGCCUUUGUUACAUCAUCUAUUGGGCUGCUACUAAUAAUAUUUCAGAGGUAAGUAAUCUUGUUUAACCUAUAUAUUUUACAUUAAUC